UCUUUUGAGAGGAAAGUCCGGGCUCCAUCGGACAAGAUGCCAGGUAACACCUGGGAAGCGUGAGCUUACGGAAAGUGCAGCAGAAAAUAUACCGCCUUUUUUAAGGUAAGGGUGAAAAGGUACGGUAAGAGCGUACCGCUUAAAUGGUAACAUUUAAGGCAUUGCAAACCCCAUCUGGAGCAAGACCAAAUAGAGGUUCUAUAGUUAGUCCAGACUGAACCCGGGUAGGUUGCUUGAGCUAAUUGGCGACAGUUAGCCUAGAUGAAUGAUUAUCCUAGACAGAACCCGGCUUAUAGAUCAGCUCA
rnacentral:RNase_P_RNA from 1 species